GUUUCAUCUGCCUUGAAGUGAGCUGCCUUCAGCAAGAUUUCCAUACUUCUCAAAGUCAGCAAACUGAACAAUCCUUCAGGUGACUGACUUCAGGAAUACAUCUUAGGAUUUCAUUCCUGACUGCAGCAGGAGAAAUGGGAGCAGGAAGCUUUUCAACACAAAGGACUACAGGACCCAGACUGAUCUGGUGCUCAGUAAAAAUGAACAUUACUACUCUUCCAGGAUCUCCAGUUUGCAGGUAAUUUUCAAUUUUUUGAUUACCUAAAACCUUCAGAUUCCUUACUGCCAUAAUAUCCUCUAAGAGACAGUCUCCUAAUUUUCCUUCCUAAAUACAGCAUGUGUAUUGAAUUUAAUCUUAUUGAUU
rnacentral:lncRNA from 1 species